ACUCCUACGGGAGGCAGCAGUGGGGAAUAUUGCACAAUGGGGGAAACCCUGAUGCAGCCAUGCCGCGUGUGUGAAGAAGGCCUUGGGUUGUAAAGCACUUUCAGUAGGGAGGAAGGUAGUGUAGUUAACACCUGCAUUAUUUGUACGUUACCUACAGAAGAAGCACCGGCUAACUCCGUGCCAGCAGCCGCGGUAAGUACGGAGGGUGCGAGCGUUAAUCGGAAUUACGUGGGCGUAAAGCGCAUGCGAGGCGGCCUGUUAAGUCAGAUGUGAAACGCCCGGGGUCUUAACCGUCGGAAUUGCAUUUGAAACUGGCAGGCUAGAGUCUUGUAGAGGGGUUAGAAUUUCAGGUGUAGCGUGAAAUGCGUAGAGAUCUGAAGGAAUACCAGUGGCGAAGG
rnacentral:rRNA from 1 species